UGCUAGUUUUCCAUGACCUGGAAACUCUAGGCCCUAGUUAUAGCCUGGUCAAUAGGUCACAUAGUCGAGGAAACUCUAGGCCCUAGUUAUAGCCUGGUCAAUAGGUCACAUAGUCGAGGAAACUCUAGGCCCUAGUUAUAGCCUGGUCAAUAGGUCACAUAGUCGAGGAAACUCUAGGCCCUAGUUAUAGCCUGGUCAAUAGGUCACAUAGUCGAGGAAACUCUAGGCCCUAGUUAUAGCCUGGUCAAUAGGUCACAUAGUCGAGGAAACUCUAGGCCCUAGUUAUAGCCUGGUCAAUAGGUCACAUAGUCGAGGAAACUCUAGGCCCUAGUUAUAGCCUGGUCAAUAGGUCACAUAGUCGAGGAAACUCUAGGCCCUAGUUAUAGCCUGGUCAAUAGGUCACAUAGUCGAGGAAACUCUAGGCCCUAGUUAUAGCCUGGUCAAUAGGUCACAUAGUCGAGGAAACUCUAGGCCCUAGUUAUAGCCUGGUCAAUAGGUCACAUAGUCGAGGAAACUCUAGGCCCUAGUUAUAGCCUGGUCAAUAGGUCACAUAGUCGAGGAAACUCUAGGCCCUAGUUAUAGCCUGGUCAAUAGGUCACAUAGUCGAGGAAACUCUAGGCCCUAGUUAUAGCCUGGUCAAUAGGUCACAUAGUCGAGGAAACUCUAGGCCCUGUAGUCCUCUAACCCAACAGGUUGAAAUUUGUUCCAA